UACGUAGGAGACGAGCGUUGUCCGGAAUCAUUGGGCGUAAAGCGCGUGUAGGCGGCUCGGUAAGUCCGCUCUGAAAGUCCAAGGCUCAACCUUGGGAUGCGGGUGGAUACUGCCGGGCUCGAGUCCGGAAGAGGCGAGUGGAAUUCCUGGUGUAGCGGUGAAAUGCGCAGAUAUCAGGAGGAACACCUGUGGCGAAAGCGGCGCACUGGACCACAACUGACGCUGAGGCGCGAAAGCUAGGGGAGCAAACAGG
rnacentral:rRNA from 1 species